rnacentral:rRNA from 1 species
AAUCGAACCCGGAGAUAGCUGGUUCUCCUCGAAAUAGCUUUAGGGCUAGCCUCAUGCAAGUCUUACGGAGGUAGAGCACUGAAUUCCUAAGGGGGCGUCAAAGCUUACCAAGGGAUAUCAAACUCCGAAUGCCGUGUAGAUGGUGCAUGGGAGUCAGACUAUCCGAGAUAAGUUGGGUAGUCAAAAGGGAAAGAGCCCAGACCUACAGCUAAGGUCCCAAAAUGUGUGUUAAGUGGAAAAGGAUGUGGGAUUUCGAAGACAACUAGGAUGUUGGCUUAGAAGCAGCCAUCCAUUAAAAGAGUGCGUAAUAGCUCACUAGUCGAGAGGUCCUGCGCCGAAAAUGUCCGGGGCUGAAACACACUACCGAAGCUUAGGAAUUGAUGAAUGUCAAUUGGUAGAGGAGCAUUCUUACCGAGACGAAGCUGUACCGGAAGGAGCAGUGGAUUGGUAAGAAGAGAGAAUGCCGGAAUGAGUAGCGAGAGGAAGGUGAGAAUCCUUCCGGCCGAAUAUCUAAGGUUUCCAGAGUAAAGCUGAUCUGCUCUGGGUAAGUCGGGGCCUAAGGCGAGGUCGAAAGACGUAGUCGAUGGAUAACAGGUAAAGAUUCCUGUACUAUAUCAUAACAGAACUGUGGGGACGCAGACAGAGAGCAUAAGCCGGGAAUGGAAAAACCGGUACAAGCGAGGUAGGAGUGCAUCAGGCAAAUCCGGUGUACAAUCUGAAGACGUGAUGUGGGGCGUAAAGCCGGAAGUAUGUGAGCUGGCUGCCAAGAAAAGCCGCUAUUGUUUAUGAUAUACCCGUACCGUAAACCGACACAGGUGGAUGAGGAGAGAAUCCUAAGGCCGACGGGAGAAGCAUUGUUAAGGAACUCGGCAAAAUGACUCCGUAACUUCGGGAGAAGGAGUGCCAUGUAAAAGUGGCCGCAGAGAAUUGGCCCAAGCAACUGUUUAGCAAAAACACAGGUCUAUGCAAAACCGAAAGGUGAGGUAUAUGGGCUGACGCCUGCCCGGUGCUGGAAGGUUAAGGGGAGAGGUUAGCCGUAAGGCGAAGCUUUGAACUUAAGCCCCAGUAAACGGCGGCCGUAACUAUAACGGUCCUAAGGUAGCGAAAUUCCUUGUCGGGUAAGUUCCGACCCGCACGAAAGGCGUAAUGAUUUGGGCACUGUCUCAACAAUGCACCCGGUGAAAUUGAAAUACCAGUGAAGAUGCUGGUUACCUGCGCCAGGACGGAAAGACCCCAUGGAGCUUUACUCCAGCUUGAUACUGGGAUUCGAUAUUGCAUGUACAGGAUAGGUGGGAGACUGAGAACUGAUGACGCCAGUUGUCAGGGAGUCACUGUUGGGAUACCACCCUUGUAGUAUUGGAUUUCUAACCAGCAGCCGUGAACCGGCUGGGGGACAAUGUCAGGUGGGGAGUUUGACUGGGGCGGUCGCCUCCGAAAGGGUAUCGGAGGCGCUCAAAGGUUCCCUCAGAAUGGUUGGAAACCAUUCGAAGAGUGCAAAGGCAGAAGGGAGCUUGACUGCGACACCGACGGGUGGAGCAGGUACGAAAGUAGGACUUAGUGAUCCGGUGGUAUAAAGUGGGAUUGCCAUCGCUCAACGGAUAAAAGCUACCCUGGGGAUAACAGGCUUAUCACUCCCAAGAGUUCACAUCGACGGAGUGGUUUGGCACCUCGAUGUCGGCUCAUCGCAUCCUGGGGCUGAAGUAGGUCCCAAGGGUUGGGCUGUUCGCCCAUUAAAGCGGUACGCGAGCUGGGUUCAGAACGUCGUGAGACAGUUCGGUCCCUAUCCGGCGUGGGCGUAGGAUAUUUGAGAGGAGCUGCCCUUAGUACGAGAGGACCGGGGUGGACUGGCCGCUGGUGGAUCUGUUGUAUUACCAAAUGCAUAGCAGAGUAGCCAAGCCGGGACGGGAUAAACGCUGAAGGCAUCUAAGCGUGAAGCCCCCCUCAAGAUGAGAUAUCCCAUAACGUCAAGUUAGUAAGACCCCUUGA